UUACUCCAACCCCUGUGACAUACCACUUGUUGCCUCGGCGGAUCAGCCCGCUCCCGGUAAAACGGGACGGCCCGCCAGAGGACCCCUAAACUCUGUUUCUAUAUGUAACUUCUGAGUAAAACCAUAAAUAAAUCAAAACUUUCAACAACGGAUCUCUUGGUUCUGGCAUCGAUGAAGAACGCAGCAAAAUGCGAUAAGUAAUGUGAAUUGCAGAAUUCAGUGAAUCAUCGAAUCUUUGAACGCACAUUGCGCCCGCCAGUAUUCUGGCGGGCAUGCCUGUUCGAGCGUCAUUUCAACCCUCAAGCACAGCUUGGUGUUGGGACUCGCGUUAAUUCGCGUUCCUCAAAUUGAUUGGCGGUCACGUCGAGCUUCCAUAGCGUAGUAGUAAAACCCUCGUUACUGGUAAUCGUCGCGGCCACGCCGUUAAACCCCAACUUCUGAAUGUUGACCUCGGAUCAGGUAGGAAUACCCGCUGAACUUAAGCAUAUCAAUAAGCGGAGGA
rnacentral:rRNA from 1 species